GCCCACGUAGCUCAGUUGGCAGAGCACGUCCUUGGUAAGGACGAGGUCACGCGUUCGAUUCGCGUCGUGGGCU
rnacentral:tRNA from 1 species